GAAGGUAAAAACAGGAAAAAAUGAAGUUGUUCGUGGUUACACGGGGCAAAAUCGAUUGCGUCCGCGAUUUUUCCAAGUUAUUCCCGUAUUCCGUCAUAUAUUACAAACUGUUCAAUGGGUCUCAAAGCCCAGUGAAGACUUUUAAGUUUCACCGACGUAUCCCCUUGAUUGAGCAAAAAUGUGACCAAUUUCAUUCUCAGAAAUUAUGAUGGUGAUGGUUCCGUAGUUUGUUACAGAGAGUCGCAUGUGUAAAAUAUGUAUAAAAAUAGCGCAAGCCUCUCAAGUCAGACGCAACACAGCGAGGAAUAUAGUGAGGAUGACGGUGGAAACGGGAGCGGAGAAUAUACUUCGCGAGGAGUUUGCGACUUCAUAGAAGAAGCGGUUGUAAGCACGAUCACAGUGGGAAGGCCAGUCCUUCAGGCAACUGGCGUAGGCUACAGCAUGGGCGAUGUAGUUUUGUUCGAAGGUACCUCUGAAGAGAUGCGAAUAGGGUCCUGAGGGAAAAAAUCAUCGGUUUUCAUUCUUUCCCUUAGAAAUGGAAUUAAUAUGAAUAAGUGAAGAACAUUUUUCAUGCACUUUUGGGCUCCAAUGAUGAAGUUUAUAACUUUGAGAAUUUUAUAAUUGUUUUAGAGAAUUGUCUAAUUGGUUUAGAGAAUUUUAUAAUUUUAGGAGAAAAUCAGUGCAAUAUGUGAUUUUUUAAUGAUGGAAUUUUCUGAAAUGUCAGUAGUAAUGUGAACUGUCAAAAAUUUCUGGACUUUAACACAGAAAUUUCAAACGAA